rnacentral:rRNA from 1 species
GUGUCAGCCGCCGCGGUAACACGUAGGGCGCAAGCGUUGUCCGGAUUCAUUGGGCGUAAAGAGCUCGUAGGCGGUUUGGUAAGUCGGGUGUGAAAGCUCAGGGCUCAACUCUGAGAUGCCACCCGAUACUGCCAUGACUCGAGUCCGGUAGGGGAGCACGGAAUUCCUGGUGUAGCGGUGAAAUGCGCAGAUAUCAGGAGGAACACCAGUAGCGAAGGCGGUGCUCUGGGCCGGAACUGACGCUGAGGAGCGAAAGCGUGGGGAGCAAACAGGAUUAGAUACCCCCGUAGUCC